UACAUGUUAGUGUUAAGUGCAUAAAAAGUUUUGAUCUUUUAGGUUUUGGUGAAAGUCCCUUACAUGUAA
rnacentral:tRNA from 1 species